UCGGCUGACCGCACUUGGGAGAUGAGGGGGGAUGUAAAAAGUCCCCUCAACUGACUACGUCUAAUAAAGUUCUGGAUAUAAUACUGAAAUAUGACAAUUUUAUAUCAGGGAGUCUUGACCAAAUUACGUGCCAGCAGUCGCGGUAACACGUAGAAGACCAGUGUUAGUCAUCUUUAAUAGGUUUAAAGGGUACCUAGACGGCAUUAUUAACCCGGAACGGAAAUAGUUUUGCUUGAGUUUUAUACGAGAAGGGGAGUAUUUAGGGAGUAGAGAUGAAAUUCUUUGAUACCUUAAGGACUGGUAAGGGCGAAAGCGACCUUUUAUGUAAUAACUGACGUUGAGGGACGGAGGCUUAGAUAGCGAACAGGAUUAGAUACCCUAGUAGUCUUUGCAGAGAAUGAUGAAUGCCAUAGAUUAGAUUUUUUUGGUUUAUAAAUGAAAGUGUAAGCAUUUCACCUCAUGAGUAAUGUGGCAACGCAGGAACUGAAAUCAUUAGACCGUUUCUGAGAACAGUAGUGAAGUAUGUUAUUUAAUUCGAUGGCCCCCGAAAAACCUUACCACAACUUGAAUAUUGCAUAUGUAUCCUUUCUAGAGAAGUAUCAUUAAACUUUCUCUAGGAACAACAAAUCUACGUGUUAGGAAAUCUAAGAAGGAUUACGGUAGAUUUCAUAAGUGUAGUGUUGGAUUUUUAACGAUCUAGUACUACACCUUAUUCACGGUGUUAAUACAAGUGUUGCACGGUUGUCUUCAGCUAAUGUCGUGAGACUGUGGUUAGCUCCAUUAAAUUAGCGGAAACCCCAGCUUUAUUUUUUAACUUUUUUUAUCAUAAAGCAGUUCAUCACUAUAUCGAAUAAUCGUGAUAACAGGACCAAGACAAAUCAUUCAGGCCCU
rnacentral:rRNA from 1 species